rnacentral:tRNA from 1 species
GCCGGAAUGGCGGAAUUGGUAGACGCAGAGGACUUAAAAUCCUCCGGAGUUAAUCCUCCGUGCCGGUUCGAUUCCGGCUUUCGGCA